UACGUAGGGUGCGAGCGUUAAUCGGAAUUACUGGGCGUAAAGCGUGCGCAGGCGGUUUUGUAAGCCAGAUGUGAAAGCCCCGGGCUUAACCUGGGAAUGGCAUUUGGGACUGCAAGGCUGGAGUGUGGCAGAGGAGACUGGAAUUCCUGGUGUAGCAGUGAAAUGCGUAGAUAUCUGGAGGAAUACCGGUGGCGAAGGCGGCAUCCUGGACCGAGAUUGACGCUGAGGAGCGAAAGCUAGGGGAGCAAACGGG
rnacentral:rRNA from 1 species